AUUAAUGCCUUAGAAGAAGAGAGCUUCAUACAUUCCUUCUCCUCUGACUCUGAUGCAGAACUUGGUGCUGUGUGGUUGGGUAUUCAGAGGACAUUAUCGUGGAUGAUGAGUUCCAGUUAUUAUAGAGAAAUUUCAUGGACAAGUACUACCAGGAGUUUUAAGACCGGGAAGAGAAUAAACUCAACUGUGUGCCUGAUUUAGUGAAUAUAUUUAUUUGGUGGAAAAGUAUAUUGAAAGACAGCUUCUGGAGCAGAUUCCUGGAUUCAACAUGGCAGCUUUUACAACAACGUUACAGCAAGGUAAAGAUGAAGUGGCUGGUGACAUAUUCAACAUGCUACUCCCAUUUACAGAUUUUUCUAGCUUUUGAAAAAAUGUUUUUAGAAUACAGGACAGCAAAAGAAGGCUGGAGACAAGACUUACAUGACGGUUUAGUGGUGACUUGUGCAAAUUAUCCUCAAGGCCAGCUUUCUAGAACAAUCUACAGCAUUAG
rnacentral:lncRNA from 1 species